rnacentral:misc_RNA from 1 species
UAAAAAGAAAGAAAAGAAAACGCAAGAAAUGGACGCUCUUAAUUGUCAAUUUUACGAGACGAGAGUAACGAAGGUCAACUGUUAUCGUUAUCGUCGUCGUCAGCGCUGUUUAUCGACGUCGCGCGCCGAUCACGAAAAGUCCGCGAGGCGAUAAAAUAAUUAUAGACUGUGAAAGAAAAAAAAGGGAAAGGCUCGUCGUUUACAAAACGUAAGACCAGCAUUGGCGCGAUCCGAACGAGCCAAUUCAAGAAUUUGAUCGCUAACGCGCGAAAGCGACCUUCGUUCGUGACGAUGAAGGGAUGAAAUUUAUUUAACCGCGAGGGCAAUCCCCCAACGCCGGGUGAAUUACGUUUUUUCAUGGAAGAAAACCUAUUGGAGACGCCAGAGAGGCUCGAUCGUAGAUUUCCCCUUCCUUAUCAUGGAUAGUUAAUAUUCGACGUUCACCCGACGAGCUGAGGACUCAAGCCAGAGACACGAAUUGACGAGCAAGAGGAGUAUACUCUCGUUCGUGCGCGAAUAGACAUCGCGUUCGACUUACUCGCAUCGACAUAAUUUAGCGCUAAUUUUGAUUAAGUAAGCUUUUGAUUUUGAUAUUUCUAAUACAACAAUAUAAAUUUUGUAAAGUGUUCUAAAUAAGCAAUUUAAUUUAUUUAAAUAGAAUUUUCUUUUUGACAAAUAGUAGGUUGCAGAUAAAAGAAAAUCUUUCAAAACAUUUUGAAAAACUAAACUUUUUUUAGGCUAAUAAGUAAUAAAAUCAUUAAUAAUUGUUUCCUUCAAUUUUCCUUUGAGGAAAAGUAUUUCCUUUGAUUUGUAAAAAAAAUUAUUAACAUCGAAUCUGUUUAUUUUGAAACAUUUUGCAUAUGACAGAUAGGACAAAAUUAAGUAUAAACGAAUUUCUUAAGAUAUGUAUCAUGUAAUAUGUUUAGUUUAAAUAAUUUAAUUAACGGAUUUUUAUUAAGCAUUACAAUUAAUAUCAGUAUCAUUUUUGUUGAUCACGAUAUUGAAUCGUUGAUAAAGAUGAGUUUCUAUUGUACAUUACAUUAUGUCACAUCAAGGAUACAUUAGGAUAUUCUUCAGAAUACACACCUCAAUAUUUAUUUUUACUUUAACAAUCAUAUCUUAACGAAGUAUUUAAGAUCUGUUUUUCAAUUCCUAGAUCUAAACCAUAUAGCAUACCAUAUACCAAAUAUUAUACUUAACGAACAAACAAUAAUCAGAGGGAAUCGCUUAAAAAUAAGAAAUAGUUAUUGCUUCAGAGCAACAAUGAGAUCCUUGGAUUUUAAAUUUCUAGUUUUUUUUUUAAUUGAAUCAUGUUUACAAUUGAAACGACAGCAGCCUGAUCUUCGCACCAAGAUUUUUAACGUGAAUUUGAACAAGAAUUAAGGAAAAAAGUUUACUAAAGAGAAACGGCUUCGCGUUCUCGGGCUCAUCGUGAGGUUUACGAGCAGAUUGUCACAUGUUCUCUCCGAGAAGCGAUAACGGGGCACUGCCGUCGUAAACGGUACGAGAGCAAGUCGACAGAUAAGAGCCGCCAGUGACGGCAGAUCAGAUCCUGUCAUCGGUAGGAUGUAGCGGCGAUUCCUCGCGGUGUAGUGAUAGUUUAUUGAUAAAGUGUUGGCAAAGGCGAUAGCGGUAAUAGCGACGGCAGUGAUUGUUAUCGAAGAGUUUAUAAAUUUGGCGUUACCACUCUCUGUCAUUUCAUGCUCUGUGAAGAUUCCAAGCUUCCUCGCUGAAGACUGCAAACUAAUAGUAAAUCACGAAUACGUGGGGAUGUUAUGUAAGCCAUACUCGCCUUCAGUAAACACAUUCGGCACUCCCGCGUCGGGAUCUGAUUUGCAAUGCGCCACAAUGUUGCACAGUCGUAAUACUUCGAUUACAGAAAAUGAUUAAAUCGAGUCGAGUAAAAUACCAAUUGCUCUUGUUGAGGGCGUUUACUGUCUUUUGACUUGUUUUCGCAAAAUGUUUGUAUUAAAAUGUUACUCAAACACUCAUUUCUUGUUGUAUAUUAUGUACAUGAUGUAUUUUCUUUAAUUAUUUAUUGUGAAGAAAAUUCUAAUUGUCAGUACACGGAAUCACAGUUUCUCAAGUGACGUACGAGAUAGAACGUAUUGAUUAUGCAUCUCAACACGUGUUGGUUUACUCAGCGCGACGUGAGGAAUCCCGGUCUUUCAGGUGAUCAAGUUACUUGGUCGAAGAAUGCACGUCAAAGGCAGCAUGAGGAUAAUCUAUGCGCGUGGUUGAGUUUGGACGAGGUAGCGAGUUACGAGGAAGAUGUGCGAUUGAGGACCGAGGAGCCAGAAGAGGAGGACGAGAAAGAGAGUGAGGAACGGGGUUCAGGGAUGUCUACGGUGUCGACCAAUAAACUACAAGUUCUGUGGGAUCAUUUCAUCCACGCCGAACCUCAGAGUUACGAGAAAUCGUCCUGGCUUGAUAUAUUUCUGGCGGAACUGCUCGCGCAAAUUAAAGAAGGCAAAGACGUAAAAGAUGUUUUGUCUUGUUGUUCGGUUGGCGUUGGCGGUGUGUCAACUCUCGUGGCUUGCGAAUUGCUUUCGGAUGUGCACGAGUUGUGCGGAAACAAAAACAAUGGCGGUGAGUUGAUUGGUCUGCGAAAAUACCUGGUCCAGGAUCGCGGCUGGCGUUACCUGGCAGUGUUGCAUCUGUUAGGUGUACGUGGUUUAUCCUGCGGUCGCGAACUGGUCGCACUGUUGGUCGCUCUCUAUCAGGUCGCAUUCCAAGAGGGGGCCAACUCGGGGGCUGACUUGACUGUCGCGUCGCAAAAGUCUGAUGGCGAUUCCGCUGUCGUCGAGUCAUUGACACGCAACCAAUACAUCAAGUUUCACUGUAACGACGAUACCGUCGAUACAGUGAAUAUCGUGCUGCAUGCGAAACGCAAGAGCAAUAAGAAUUCUGGCCGCAGACGUUUUUCUCAUGAAGGCGAUACGCCGUCGCGCAGAAGAUUCGUUCGUCGACACAUGACUGGUACCACGAAAAUCCAGCAAUCCACCAGUCAUAAGCAAAAGAAGUCAUCAUCGAUUCUGGAAGCGCGACGUAAUACACCGAAGAACGAGACGAGCAGUGAGUUUGAACCAUCAACGGAUGGCAUUGAUCCAGCGCGUUCUCUUACGCUGAAGAUACGUCUGAAUCCGAUGGACUUCGAAUAUUUCACAUCGAUUGUUAGGAGCGACGAAGAGCAGAAAUGGCAAGCUGAACUGUAUGAGCUGCCACCUCGUCCCGUGAGGAAAACGCCGCGCGACUAUAUCGAUGAAAGGAUCCGCGAUGUAUUGGAUGCCAAUAUCAGUAAUUUCGAAAUUAGUCUAUUAAUUAUACAACUGCUGCAAGGUUUACGCGAUUAUGACACACCCGCCGAACAAACGCCAGCCGUGCAAGUCUUAAAAUUCGCUUUGGACACGCUAUGGUCACUACAAUUCGGCAUAGACGGCAGCAGUUUAAAUGGUACGGAAAGUGCGACCUUGAAGGCAGCGGCUGCCAGGUUGAUGUUGACAGCUCUCGAACGUGCCUUGAGGGCCGACGAACCUACCACGGCAGUGAUUCACAAUGGUCUGCUGCCAAUGACUCUGAGAUUGUUGGAAAAUGCCUGCAGCAAGCCAGUGAGUGUAUUAGAACCCGAGGAAGGUUCGUUGUUACAAGAAUUUAUCUUUGCCAUCAUCUAUGGAAUCGUCACGUUCCUCUAUUGCCUGUUGCACCAGCGUAGCAGUAAUGUCGACAAGCUGUCGGAUUUCCUCGAAUUAUUUCGACUUUUCGUCGAGAGUCAGGAUGGCAGGCUCGUCGAGAGAACGGUGUUUACGAUUGUAGAUCUUUCUAGUGUCGAUUCGGCGAAAUCAAUAGUACGGGCUAAGAAGAUAAUCGACAUAAUAGGGGCGCUGAUCAGCGGAUUGAAGCAUGUUCGUCGUGAUCUUUCGCACUCCACGCAGUGUCACAGGACCAAGCACAAAUCCUGUAUCGAACACAUUCAGAGUCACCAUCAUUCUGAUAUACUCGGAGCACCAUACUCUCAGUCGAUCGUUGGCGUAACCGAUAAACAAGUGUGCUGUAUCGCCUCAUUAUUUGCGACUCUCACGAGUUUACUGAAAGAAUCUCAUUUAUUCGCAAGCGAGCUGCAGGUGAGACUGAUCGGGAUAAUCACCGCCGCGGGUACGUGCUGUUGUUUCCCACCGAAGGUACUCGUUUCAUGCAUCGUCGCCUGUCUCAGAAAACGUAAUUUCUCGACAUACGCGCCAGCCGUAGCGUUCUUGGAGCGUACUCUCUUCAGAGAACUAGGUGUUUAUUCGACCAUGGAAGCAUGCAGCACCUGUGACAAACCAGCCAAUUACUCGUGGGAUUUCCUGGAACUGUACAUUGAUUUGCUGUAUCUUGACGAUCCGAAACUCUGUUACGUUGUCAUGGCGCAUCUGCUGAAAGUCACACCCGUUUCUCGAUUUCACGUCAAAGAACAACUUUUUUUCAAAAUUUUCUAUCCAACUUUUUUACGUGCUAAAACGCAUUACGUAGCCGAUAAAGACAACGCAACGGCGAGAUUUCUUUUGCAGUCCUGUAUAUCCGUUAUAUCAUGUUUAAUUGUGAAUCUGAAAAUGUGCGAGAAAUUCAUGGAGAUAAACGGAUUGCACGAAAUACUAUCUUUAAUAGCGGACGCGACAUUCACUAGGAGCGUCUACGCUCUUUUAGAAGUCACCGUGACCGUAGAAAUCUGGAGGAUUUGUAAGGAAUUUGACAAUACGGAAAGUAUUGAGACGCCAGCGACUAAGUUCCUCUUUGAAACCCUUGAUAGAGAGACGAACGAAUUGUUCAUCAAUUUGCAGCGUCUUAAGGAACUAAAUGUGGGAGAGAAGGCGGACCAGCAAAACGAGAAGGAUACGCCUGAUGAUUGUGACAAUCAAAAAGCUGAAAUAUCUGCUCUCGAUGAUUUAAGAACAGAGACCGCUGAGGUGGCGAUUGAAGGUCUCGAUGAUACAACAUUAUCGCAAUUACCUGAAAGUAAUAUUCACGAACAAUUAGAGAACAAGACUGAUACAAUAAAUGCCAUAGCAAAUUUGAAUUCGUUUGACUUUCUUAUAGAAAAUGCCAUUGAAGUGUGUAACGACGAGGAUGCGCCGUAUAAUAAAUUCAGCCUGUAUCAGGCUAGCGCAGCAUGGAGGGCUGCUGCAGGAGUAGCAUUAUGUAGCCCAAAAUUCCGCACUGAAUUAUCAGCACAUCCAAUAUCAAAAAAAUCAUUACACUUAUUCAAGUUGUUAACUGUGAGCAUCGCUAUGGAUAGUAUUGAAGAUAAAUCAGCGCAUAAGCUCUUCGAAGCCCUGAUUACGUGUUGUCUGAUAUCUCCGUUGUAUAAUUGUAACAUAGUCAUGGAGUUAAGAAAGAUACUGAUGAAUACUGGAAUAACACUUGGCCGUGGAAUAGCUGUGAUAGUGGACGCGGUGUUGAAGGUCUCUAUGCUAAAACCAGCACAAGAAAACAGUAUACAGCAACAACCGCGUCCCAGACUUCCAACCAUAUCGUUAGAGACUCUACCAGAUUAUGGUGCAGAAGAUAGCAGUACCGGCGAAUACGUAACCGCUGAUGAUGGAUAUGAAGCAGAUAUUGAAGUGCCUGGGAAAAAUACUAACAGCAUUUCCAAGAAAAACAGCAGCCCCCUUGGACCUGUGACAGAGCCGAGAAGCCACGCCAAUGCACAUCCUGCUUUGUGUUCCCUGGCAAUAGAUCUUUUAAUUCAUUUCAGUGAACAAGGUUUAGAUUUAGAAAGAGGAUCGAUAAUAACUGGUGGAUUGCGAAGGGUCACCGUUACUUGUCGAGAAAGUGCCUCAAGUUGUGCCGCCCUUGCGGCUUCAGGAACUAUUAUGAAAAUAUUGAAUGGUUUUAAAAAUAUAUUUAUGGAAAACGAUCCGCGAUAUCGAGACUUGCAACACGCGGCAUUGGAAGUUUUUACAUUAUUGGCAACGCAAUCAAUCUCACCAACAGAGCUUGUCGCGUAUCUGUCGUUUUUCAAAGUAAAGAAAUCGCCAUUAUUGCCCUUGCUGGAGCCAUUAUAUCACUUGGUGCUGGCUGCUCGACCUCAGCCGAAUUUUAUUCUAUCAUUCCCUGUACAGUAUGACACGAAAGUGUCGCUGAAGGCCCAAACGGAGGAACACAAAAAUCUGGAAAAAGUUGAGAAUCUUGUGAACAAUUUUAGAAAGAAGCAUCUCGCUGCGGGAAUUUGUAGUCCGUGGUCCGUACAUGCAACGUGUCUGCCCAUCGGACCGGAGCUUGCUUGGUCGGUGUGGUUGCAUGGUUGCUCCGUUUCCAUGUGGUUAAGGAUAGAAAGAGGGCUACCAGUUGGCGGACGUACUGUCCACAGUACUUCCCCAUUGCUUGAUUCAGAUAGUGAGAGUUUAUCAGACUGGGGUAUUCUUUCUGAUGACUGGAGUCGAGAUGUUUUAGCAGGUUCUGUGUCGCCACCCACUCCAACAUCAAUAAUACAUUUGAUGUCCAUCGGGUUUGAGUCGUUAGUUUUAGAAACUUGGCUUGAUCUUAGAUCAGAUAAAUUAAUUUUACGACUCACUCGACCAGAUGAUAAGAUGAAUCGGACAAUCUCCGAAACUUCGAUAAAUGGUAUGCUUCCUUCGGGAUGUUGGCAUCACUUAACUUUAAAUAUUAAAGAUACUGUCUUGAAUAAGCGCAGUGCUGUAGUUGAAGUUACGCUCUGGGUGAAUGGUUGGAAAGAAAUCAAUGCUCAAUUACCAUUUGACGGUUUACUAGUGAGAAAACCUGGUACUACGUGUAUUUUGUUAGGUCAAAUUGGGUCGAGUUUUGGUAGUAUUGGUGCGUGGUACCUUGGAAAUUUAAUGAUUUUUAGAUGUCCAGUAUUUACGAAAGAACGUGCAUUGCACCUGGCAGGUUUCGGACCAAAUUAUACUAACUUAGCAGAUUAUACUUUAAAUACGGUCAAACCAGAUUUUGCACCCCUUAUUGCAUCCGGUGCAUUGAAUGGCGUUCGCGAAGUGAGAUAUGAAGGAGGUAAAUUUGAUUUAAGCCGUCGAAAAUCUUAUGGCGGUACUUAUUUGAGACACGCCGUCGAAACGGUGGUAUCGGAAUCGAAAAUUGAUUGGGAUGCUGUUAUGGACGUGACAAAUUCACAUCUUAGCGAGCUGCAAGAUAAUUUGCUUCUUAAUUAUGAGGCUCAAAAUCCCAAUAUCGUACAUUUGUAUCCUCAAGCUGUCGCUAAUCCUGCUGUUGUUGUGAGAAGUAUCUUCCCGAGUCAACCAGGUUUCAGAGUCGUUUCGGUCCCAGAGCACAGAGUAUCACAACAGCCACCUUUAUCGAUACCUACGAUCGUAUCUACUCGUUUAGAGAGUCAACAAUACCGAGGUCUUGUACCUGCAGCAAUCUUAGUGGGCGGUGUACCAGUAUUCUUAUAUCUUUUUGCCAGAGUGGUAGAAUUAAGUUCAACCGAAGAAGAACAAGCAUUAGCUUUGUCCAUAAUCCUGCAUCUUGUUCGUAGUGAUUCGGAACUUCUGAAUCAAUAUCGAUCAGACGGCGGGACGUCACUAAUUCUGCGUGUCCUAGAAUCAUCUAGGUGUCACGCAGGUAGACAUAUUCUGAAGGCGAUGCUAGAUGCGGCAUGUGACAGCUCGAUCAUCAUCAAAGAUAUCAGCAGUGGCAAUCAUUCCAUCUCACAAAAUUGCGAAGCCGUUAUCAUAGAUCCGGGACUAAUCAAGGGUGCACUCACCGCGUGGAGAGCGUGGGUGAAAUACGAUACGUUAAAUUUACUGUUGCAAGCAUUAUUACUUUUAUUGCGCGAUCAACAUUCGCAUCGUGAAUUCAAUGCGUCACAAUUAAACAGGGUCGGAAUCGUAGAUACAAUUCUUACCUUAUGUAAGGAACACUUCAUGUACGAAAUGCAUGAAGAAGAAAGUACCAUAUUAGACUCGAAUACUGGAAUCGCUAUUGUGGAACUGAUGCGUGCCUUAAUGGGUGCACCGCCUGAAUUUGCUCACUUGGUCGCCAUCACUGAUUAUCUGGUUCUCGUUCAUCAAGCCUCGGAAACUUAUGUCACUCACUCGCGACACAAUAUCUAUUUUAUGCUGCCGCAACUGAAGGAAAAGAAUACAAAAAGGAACGAUACUAUUUCUGAUGAAUCGAUAGGUAUGGUGGAGAACAGUAAACUAAACAAGGCACUGACAAAUGAACAGAUUCAAAAAACGCGAAGCCCUAAAAAGAAGGAUCGUAAAAACGUGCUCUCAUCAGAUAAUACUAGUGCCGGAGAAGAUUCUGGAAUUGCAGGUAGCGAUGGGUCUAAUCCUCAAAGUAACGAAAGACAAUCAACAUACGCGGAUGAAAGAAGAGCCUGUCAGGGCUUAGUCUGCGAAGGGUUGUUAUUAUUAUUGAGAGAUGCCCUGAGAGUGUUACCAGAUUGUCAAGUUGGAUUAGUACUAAAGCAUGUUUUAAGAGCUGAACUGCUAUUAGUUCUAGCCAAUGAUCCUGAUAAUCGUGUACGCACAGCAUUGAUUAAGGUGAUACAAACCUAUCUACAACGUGCUAGCGAUGAGGAAGUAAAUAAGUUUAUAAAACAAAAGUAUUUCAUGCAUCUAGGAAAUCAGAUAGCUUUAUAUCCUGGAAGCGAAUCGCUGAUUGUCGCUUUAGAAAAUUUAGCUUUACGAGGUCCGACACUGGCGGCGAUGCCACCGUUAAUGGCAAUGAUUGCGAAGGCCGCGAGCUCUGAUUCAAAUGUAGCCAGGCCAAUAGUAUCUUUUAUCACUGACAUAAUAGCAAAGAACACGAGUGCACUGAAAGUACUUCUGGAGCAAGGUUUAAUCGAAUCAUUGGCACAAGCUUUGGCCGCAGCCGCGCAUAAGAGUACUUCAACAUCUAUUCACCGAGACAUUCACGUACUAUUCGUAGCAAUCGUGACCAAGCUUCUAGAACUACCGGGAAAUCAUCAGAUGCAAGCUGUACUCGAUCUACACAUGAUACUCGAUUACAUGGAACUAUCGGAGAAGUUACGAUGCCGCGCAAGUUUAACUUGCACGACCAUAAGAGACGCCCAAGUCGCAUUAUUUGAUGGAGAGUUAGAUAUGCUUACGACUAAAAUGUCGAAUCCUUCAGGAUUUCGUCUACGUAGCACAGCCUCUUAUUUGGCUUCGGCAUCUUACUUUACCUCAGUUCUCACGACAUCCAGCGAACAGAGUGAUCACGGGUCUCGUUCGUCUAGUUAUGCAAACUUUCAGACAAAUUCAUCCCAGGUGUUACGCGAACCUAGCAAAGGAGAACUAAAUGAUCGUUUUCGUAUUAUUGUGACACGUGCCGUUGAAUUUAUAAUGGCUGCUGACGCGUCGCCAUCUGUCAACGAAUUGCAAUUGACGAGAAGGUUAUUUUCCAUUCUUCUACAUGGUUUGUGUAAUCCGCUGGAGAAGAAAAAUCACUGGAGCAACACAUGGUCUGUUAGAUCGGCUUUGAAAAAGUAUACGGCUAAAAUUAUGGUAUGGCUGCUGGAACCACAUCAAAAUAUGAAUACGAGAGUAUACGCCAUCAGAUCUCUAAUGGAAGAACCGAGAGCUCGUGAAAUUUUGUCAUGUAUUCUGGAAGUUCAUCCACAGAUGGAGCAAAAGUUCACUGUAUUUUUUUGGGACCUGUUGCAAAAACGAGACGAGAUGCCGAGUGCUGAUGCUAGGGUGUGUGCAGAGUUAAGGGAAGCUUUGCGUGUAUGGAACCUUGCCAAAGGGAUAGAACAAGCUAGUCCUGAAGUAUGGAAUGAUGAAUUAGCUUUGUUACGUCGAGAUUUGCUUUCAACUCAAGAUAUUUGUAUCGACAAUUAUUCUGUGGUUUUAAGAAUUGGCAAAAGAUUUGAUGCGUUGGCGAAGCAGUUAACUGAAAGCGCUAUGACCAUAACGCGUUCGGUUGUGGAGGAACAAAAUCGUGAGCGCAAGGUGUUGAUGGAGCAGUUAAAACACACACGAGCAUUAGAGGCACAAGCGGUGGCUAGAUGGAGAGACAUAGCCAAACGACUAACACACGAACGGGCGCCAUGGCACUUUCCUGAAAGUUACCCGAAAAAUUGGGAAUUAGAUCCAACUGAAGGCCCUGCGAGAGUCAGAAUAAGACUUCAGAGAUGUCAUCUGAAUAUUGAUGAGAAAUUUUUUUUGCCUGAGUAUCAAGAUAAAUUAGCAUCUUCUAAUAUCGAGCUGCCAUUAUCGUAUUUGUUUACAAGUACUCGCGAAGACGCCAAUACUGCGGCAUUAAUAGAACGGUUGCAUACGAGUGAAAAAAUACGUAAGAUGUCUCAGGCAAAAGUUGUUACACCUAGGGCUGAAUUAGCUGGAGAAGUCCUCAUCGGCGAGACGUGCGUGUAUUUCGUUCCGGACAAUCCCGAUAUGCCGUUACAUACGGAUAUAGCAUUGGGUGGUUUCGAUUUGGCUGUGGCUGGUGGUACCGCUUGGCGUCUCGAAGAUAUUCGAGAAUUGCACAGAAGAAGAUACCAAUUGCAAGAGAGAGCCAUCGAAAUCUUUCUCAUUACUGGCAGAACAUACCUAUUGGCAUUCAAUUCGUCCAAGGAAAGGGAUGAAUUUGCGACGGAAUUGUCCGCAUGCAAUUUACCUAGGCGAAUCCCUGGUGAUGAUUUAGGAGAGGCUCUAGCCUUGUGGAGGAGUGGCGUGCUUACUAAUUGGGAAUACAUAACUUGCUUGAAUAAACUAGCAGGCCGUUCGUAUAAUGACUUAAUGCAAUAUCCCGUAUUUCCGUUCGUCUUGGCAGAUUACAUUAGCGAGAAGAUCGACUUGAACAACCCGAAAAUUUAUCGAAAUUUUAAACGACCAAUGGCUGUGCAAGAUAAAAAGAACGAGCAACAUUACAUAAAUAAUUAUAAUUACUUGAAACAAACUUUAACAGAAGGAUUAAAUCUAAUUGCUUUAAAUCAAGGACCAUUCCAUUAUGGCUCUCAUUAUAGUAAUUCUGGAACUGUAUUACACUUUUUGAUAACAAUUUUGAUAUUCCCGACCGAACAUUUCAUGCAUUAGCCACUACAUGGAGAUUAACUAGUUGCGAUUCAACAACAGACGUGAAGGAAUUGAUACCAGAAUUUUUUUAUUUACCUGAAUUUUUAUUAAAUUUCGAAGGAUUCAAUUUCGGUGUUCGACAAAAUGGCAACCAAGUAGGAGAUGUUGAAUUGCCAAAGUGGUGUGGUGGUGAUGCACGUCUAUUUAUAUUGGCACAUAGAGCUGCGCUGGAAUCCGACAUUGUGAGGGAGGUAUUGCCAU